CCGAGUUUACAACUCCCAAACCUAAUGUGAACGUUACCAAACUGUUGCCUCGGCGGGAUCUCUGCCCCGGGUGCGUCGCAGCCCCGGACCAAGGCGCCCGCCGGAGGACCAACCAAAACUCUUAUUGUAUACCCCCUCGCGGGUUUUUUACUAUCUGAGCCAUCUCGGCGCCCCUCGUGGGCGUUUCGAAAAUGAAUCA
rnacentral:misc_RNA from 1 species